AAAGGAAUAGACGGGACCCCGCACAAGCGGUGGAUCAUGUUGUUUAAUUCGAGGAUACGCGAAGAACCUUACCAGGUCUUGACAUACCAUGCAAAGCUAUAGAGAUAUAGUGGAGGUUAACAUGGAUACAGGUGGUGCAUGGUUGUCGUCAGCUCGUGUCGUGAGAUGUUGGGUUAAGUCCCGCAACGAGCGCAACCCUUAUUGCUAGUUGCCAUCAUUAAGUUGGGGACUCUAGCGAGACUGCCAGUGACAAACUGGAGGAAGGUGGGGAUGACGUCAAAUCAUCAUGCCCCUUAUGACCUGGGCUACAAACGUGAUACAAUGGCUGUAACAAAGAGCAGCAAGAGCGCGAGCUUAAGCAAAACUCAGAAAAGCAGUCCCAGUUCGGAUUAGAGUCUGCAACUCGACUCUAUGAAGUCGGAAUCGCUAGUAAUCGUAGAUCAGAAUGCUACGGUGAAUACGUUCUCGGGGUUUGUACACACCGCCCGU
rnacentral:rRNA from 1 species